rnacentral:rRNA from 1 species
UACGGAGGGUGCGAGCGUUGUCCGGAAUCAUUGGGCGUAAAGGGCGCGUAGGUGGCCCGGUCAGUUCGUGGUGAAAGCGCGGGGCUCAACCCUGCGUCGGCCAUGAAUACUGCCGCGGCUGGAGCACUGUAGAGGCAGGCGGAAUUCCGGGUGUAGCGGUGGAAUGCGUAGAGAUCCGGAAGAACACCGGUGGCGAAGGCGGCCUGCUGGCAGUGCUGGACACUGAGGCGCGACAGCGUGGG